AUUGAACGCUGGCGGCAGGCUUAACACAUGCAAGUCGAGCGGAGAUAGGGUGCUUGCACCUGAUUCCUAGCGGCGGACGGGUGAGUAAUGCUUAGGAAUCUGCCUAUUAGUGGGGGACAACAUUCCGAAAGGGAUGCUAAUACCGCAUACGCCCUACGGGGGAAAGCAGGGGAUCUUCGGACCUUGCGCUAAUAGCUGAGCCUAAGUCGGAUUAGCUAGUUGGUGGGGUAAAGGCCUACCAAGGCGACGAUCUGUAGCGGGUCUGAGAGGAUGAUCCGCCACACUGGGACUGAGACACGGCCCAGACUCCUACGGGAGGCAGCAGUGGGGAAUAUUGGACAAUGGGGGGAACCCUGAUCCAGCCAUGCCGCGUGUGUGAAGAAGGCCUUUUGGUUGUAAAGCACUUUAAGCGAGGAGGAGGCGCUCUAGGAUAAUACCCUAGAUGCGUGGACGUUACUCGCAGAAUAAGCACCGGCUAACUCUGUGCCAGCCGCCGCAGUAA
rnacentral:rRNA from 1 species